ACUCCUACGGGAGGCAGCAGUGGGGAAUAUUGCACAAUGGGCGCAAGCCUGAUGCAGCCAUGCCGCGUGUAUGAAGAAGGCCUUCGGGUUGUAAAGUACUUUCAGCAGUGAGGAAGGUGGAGUCGUUAAUAGCGGCCUCAUUUGACGUUAGCUGCAGAAGAAGCACCGGCUAACUCCGUGCCAGCAGCCUCGGUAAUACGGAGGGUGCAAGCGUUAUCCGGAAUCAUUGGGUUUAAAGGGUCCGCAGGCGGUCAAUUAAGUCAGAGGUGAAUCCUAUAGGCUUAACUAUAGAACUGCCUUUGAUACUGGUUGACUUGAGUUAUACGGAAGGUAGGUAGAAUGUGUAGUGUAGGCGGUGAAAUGCAUAGAUAUUACACAGGAAUACCGAUUGCGAAGGCAGCCUACUACGUAUAUACUGACGCUCAUGGACGAAAGCGUGGGGAGCGAACAGGAUUAGAUACCCUGGUAGGAUAGCGU
rnacentral:rRNA from 1 species